CCUACGGGUGGCAGCAGUGAGGAAUAUUGGUCAAUGGACGGGAGACUGAACCAGCCAAGCCGCGUGAGGGAGGAAGGUACAGAGUAUUGUAAACCUCUUUUGUCAGGGAACAAAGACUGGGACGCGUCCCUGGCUGAGUGUAUCUGAAGAAAAAGCAUCGGCUAACUCCGUGCCAGCAGCCGCGGUAAUACGGAGGAUGCGAGCGUUAUCCGGGUUUAUUGGGUUUAAAGGGUGCGGAGGCGGUCGGUUAAGUUAGCGGUGAAACCCCGGGGCUCAACCCCGGACCCGCCUUUGAUACUGGCAGGCUCGAGAUGGAGAGAAGUAGGCGGAAUGCGCGGUGUAGCGGUGAAAUGCAUAGAGAUC
rnacentral:rRNA from 1 species